GACGAACGCUGGCGGCGCGCUUAACACAUGCAAGUCGAGCGAUGAAACUUUAACAUACCCCUUCGGGGCGAAGAUAAAGUGGAUUAUCGGCGGACGGGUGAGUAACACGUGAGUAACCUUCCCUAGACAUUGGGAUAGCCUCUGCAAACCGGUAUUAAUACCAAAUAAAAUCAUAAUGACACAUGUCAUAACGAUCAAAACUCCGUUGGUCUACGAUGGACUGGCGUCCCAUUAGCUAGUUGGUAGAGUAAAAGCCUACCAAGGGGACGAUGGGUAGCCAGGAUGAGAGGGUGAACGGCAACAUUAGAGCUGAGAACCGGUCCGAACUCCUGCGGGAGGCAGGAGGUGGGAAUAUUGCACGAUGGAGGGAACACGAAUGCAUCCGGGCCGCGUAAACGAGGAAGGCGUGAAGAUCGUAUGGUAGUUUUAUAUGGGCAGAUAAUGACGGUACCAUAAGAAAAAGCCCCGGCUAACUACGUG
rnacentral:rRNA from 1 species